rnacentral:rRNA from 1 species
AACGAACGCUGGCGGCAGGCUUAACACAUGCAAGUCGAGCGCCCAGCAAGGGGAGCGGCAGACGGGUGGGUAACGCGUGGGAAUCUACCCAUCUCUACCGAAUAACGCAUGGAAACGUGUGCUAAUACCGUAUACGUCCUUCGGGAGAAAGAUUUAUCGGAGCUGGAUGAGCCGGCGUUGGAUUAGCUAGUUGGUGGGGUAAAGGCCUACAAAGGCGACGAUCCAUAGCUGUUCUGAGAGGAUGAUCAGCCACACUGGGACUGAGACACGGCCCAUACUCCUACGGGAGGCAGCAGUGGGAAAUAUUGGACAAUGGGCGCAAGCCUGAUCCAGCCAUGCCGCGUGAGUGAUGAAGGCCCUAGGGUUGUAAAGCUCUUUCACCGGUGAAGAUAAGGACGGUAACCGGAGAAGAAGCCCCGGCUAACUUCGUGCCAGCAGCCGCCGUAACAC